ACUGUGUUUGUUUCUUCAGUUCCUUGCCUGCCGCCCUGUGCCUUCCAGUUCACACGUUCUCCUCCUGCUGGAUCUGAAGAGUCUGACUGUUGGCGACAUCCUGGAGAAGCUGUGACGAGAAGAAGAAAAGACAACAACAAGGCGGCGGGGGCUGCGGCUAAUGGAGAGGCUGUAAUUGUGAAUGGAGGCAUUCAUCUGGAGACGUCGUCCGUGAAUUGCGCCACAAUGCGCAGCGCCGGGCUGCUCAGAUCACCAACCAGUCACCAAACACACACAGAUGCACACAUAUAGACGCACACACUGAAGCCUUUAGAUCACUGGUGCUCAAGAGGAGGAACGGAACAACACCUCGGCAGAGAGCGAGACAGGAGCAAAGAGGGGGAGAGAAGGAGCGAGGACCUAAGGGGGGGGGGAGCAACAGGAGAGGAGAAAUUGUACAAGUAGAGGAGGAGGAAGAUGGGAUUAAAAAGUGGAUGUUUCCUGCCAUUUGAUUUGGGCUAUAGAACCUAGGAGGUAGAUCAGAUAGACACGCAUACACGCACGCACGCACGCACACACACAUGCACACACAGAUUCUGAUAUAGAGGAACAUGUAAGUAAACACAAAUGCAUACACACAAGCAUGCACAACACAUUCAUUC